rnacentral:rRNA from 1 species
GGCGAUCAGAUACCGCCCUAGUUCUGACCGUAAACGAUGCCAACUAGCGAUCUGCCAGUCGACUCAUCGCUCUGGUGGGGAGCUUCCCGGAAACGAAAGUCUUCCGGUUCCGGGGGAAGUAUGGUUGCAAAGCUGAAACUUAAAGGAAUUGACGGAAGGGCACCACCAGGAGUGGAGCCUGCGGCUUAAUUUGACUCAACACGAGGAAACUCACCCGGCCCGGACACCGUAAGGAUUGACAGAUUGAUAGCUUUUUCAUGAUUCGGUGGAUGGUGGUGCAUGGCCGUUCUUAGUUCGUGGAGCGAUUUGUCUGGUUUAUUCCGAUAACGAGCGAGACUCUGGCCUACUAAAUAGUUGGCACAUUGCCACUGUGUGCACAACUUCUUAGAGGGAUUUUCGGUGUUCAGCCGCACGAAAUUGAGCAAUAACAGGUCUGUGAUGCCCUUAGAUGUCCGGGGCUGCACGCGCCCUACACUGGCAAACGCAACGUGCCUGUCCUGCCCCGAAAGGAGCGGGUAAACCCCUGAAAUUUUGCCGUGAUUGGGAUCGGACAUUGCAACUAUUAUCCGUGAACGAGGAAUUCCUUGUAGGGGCGAGUCAUCAACUCGUCCCGAAUACGUCCCUGCCCUUUGUA